AACAUGGGAGCCUCUAAAUCUCGGAGACACAAAAGAUGGUCACCACGACGGUGACACCAUAAGCCACCAAAGUUCAGUUGGCCCGCAACUGGUUCCAGUCCAGAGUAUUUUUCAUCCGUCACCCCAGAUAAGGUGAAAUAUGUUUCGGCUUGCUCCUGCAUUUACCAUCUCGUUCUUCUUCUUUAGCAUCUUCUCUUGUGCAGAGGUAUCGCCACCCUACAACAUUGCCAAUCUGGACAUGAGCUUAGAUGUCUCAAAAAAAAGUAUUUUGUAAGACACAGUACUGUAGCACUGCAACACAAAGGGCAUGGAAUUUGUUCCGAACAUGAGGAACUGUUGUGACCUGUAUAUUUAAACGGAAACAAAAAAAACU
rnacentral:lncRNA from 1 species